CUUACCUCUCACUCUCUCCGCACCACACUCUCGUUCGGUCAUUCCCCUCCACCAAAUCCCUAGCUCUCCUCUAAUGAUUCGUGUUGUCGCCUCCCUCCCACCGGCGUCGCCGCCUCCCUCCAGUGACGUGCUUCGCCGCCUUCUCUCCCUCUCGCCCGUGUCGCCUUUCCCUCCCCCCCGUGCUGCGUCUUGCGUGCUCCAAGGCCGAGGAGGAGCGCGGGCACGGCGGCCUUGUCCUACUCGACACCGGCUGUGACAAACGCCGGCGCUCCUCGUUACCCUCUAUCUGCAAACAGGAGCUCCCGUACUGGACGCUACCGUCCCGCACGGGCUAUCUAAGCCGGAGCCCCCCUCCAUCUCGACGGCACCCGAGAUUGAGGCCGCACCGGAAUCCCAAUCGCCUACCACGCUCUACGCUCGACGGCAAGACCCACAAGAUAAGAGUAGGGAUGCGUGUUGCAGAGGGAAGAACGAUGUGAUAUGGACAAUGAUGCAGCUCCUGAAGAAGCGGUUGCCGCGUCUGCACUGAUUAGCUGUAAGACAGUUACUCCAGCACUUACAGUACUGCGUCUCCUCAAUCUAGGUUUUGCAGUACAGUAGGGAUGGACUCUGUAACUGAAAGGAGUAGCACUGAUUGUGUCGGGGCAAGGAGCGGGCGCGGCGAGCAGGAGCGGGCAAGGAGGUGGUGAGCACCUGGAGCUGCAAGCACCGGGCGAGGCGUGAGUUGCUGGGCGAGGCACGAGGUGCUGCCGACGGCGAGGUUCAAAUUCAAACUGAUUUGGGAGUUGGACAAUGGUACCCGUAAAAUGGAGAGAAGUUCGUGAUAUAGUGUGGAAAGCAAAUAUUGCUCACACUAACCUUGCAAAUGAAGUCAGACCAGAACUGGAUGAUUGAUGCAGGCGAACAAAAUUAAGUUUUGAGGUACACAUAUUUGAGCACCAUGCCUUGCCAAGCUUAACACUUUUUUGACUGUAAGCUUUACUUUGUGAUUCAUGUCUUGUACUAUAUGACAGAUGCGAAACAUCAAGGAUAACAAUAUAAACAGUUUGGGCCUAUAUAAGUGUAUGAAAGCAUCAUAUACGUAAUUAGAAAGUCUGGGCCACAAAUCAAAAAGCAUGACAUGUACAUACUGUUCAUACAAGUUUAGUCUGGAAUAGCUCAAUUUUUUCUAACAUUAGUCUGAGAUCUGUACUAUUAAAGAGGGGAAUUUCCUCUGAUUUAGUUAUUUUUUUUGGGUAUUACCGACCCAUACCACGAUCUCAAUUUAUUUCUUAACUGAAUUAACGAACAUUUUUUAUACUUAAUAAAAGUCAAAAUGCACAUAAUAAGUGGAGUAAAGAAUAUUUAUGAUCAGGGCUUGUUUUACCUUUUUUCUUCUGUGGUACGUUGCCCGUCGUUUAGCGUCUAUCUUAUCCCUUUGUUCUUGUGAUGGUACAUAAUCGGAGCAUCUUCCUUUUCUUUUUUCUCCUUAUAAGCUGCCCUUCUCCGCGUGUUUAUAAUGUCCCUUUUUUCUAUUGAUGAGGUCUUGUUAUGUUCUCCAUAAUCAUGAAUUGUAUCAGCAGUACCUUAAAACGUAUCUGGCAUGAAAAGUAUGAAAAGUAUUAAUUAUAAAGCGAGAAGAAUGUCUAGCAAAAGGCUGAUUUUCAUGACCGUACCCUCUUCCUUUUUCUUUCGAUAAGCAGCUCGCCUCCGGGCGUUUAUCAGCUCUCUCUUUUUGUCGGUGAAGCUGUUUUUGCGGUCAUUCAUCACAACUCAUGUUUUCUAGUGCUCGGUUGUUGGUAUAGACACUGAACAUUCACGAGCUAGAGCAUUACGCCCGACCUGGUUUCCCACAUCGACAUGGGAAGAUUCUAGAGCUACUGGAACAACAUAAUAGCCAUAAGCUGAUUAAAUAUAUGAAGAUGAACCCCCGUAAGGACUAAUUACUUCACAUCAAAGACGGACGGGUAAUACCAUUUGAACUGCCUCGUACAUUGCUGGCAUAGAAGAGUGUGAGAUUACUGGGAGCCGGCAAGGAAGCACCAUUAUGCAUGAAUGAGUUUGCUGGGUUGUCUGCAUCAUGUAAAAAUAACAAAAUGAAAAAACCCACAAGGCAUCAUUAUGUACAAAGGAGACUGGACCACACCUGCCAGUUUACUGAAUCUGUCCAACAAUAGGAUGUAAUACACAUAGUAUAAGAAUACCUGACAUCGCAUUGUAAGGUCGAUCAACAUUUGUGAUAUCCCCGGGAGCGAGUGUGAGUUCACUGGGAGCCGUCAACGAAGCAUCACUUAACCCAUCUGAUGUGUUGUUGCCCCCCUCGUAGUCUGUAAGGUAUGAUAGAGAAUAUACAAAACAGAUGAUUUUAUACCAGAAGUAUGUUGACGAUAUUUGCACAUAAUUAAACCUGGACCCAUUGAGUAACUAUCGUCAAGUUUGUCAGCUAAGGGUAUAUUCUCUGUGUUGUAUUCAUCAGCAUUUGCUCCAAAGGAAUGGCCUGCAACACAUCAUGUAUACACACUGUGAGCAGGGCAUGAUGUUAGCCAUGUUGACGAUAUUUGCAUAGAAUUAAACCUGCAAAGAUGGAGUAACUAUCGUCAAGAUUGUCAGCCAAGGGUAUACUCUCUGUGUUGUAUUCAUCAACAUUUGGCCCAUCCACAUGGCCUGCAAUACAUCAUGUAUCCAAAAUAUGAGAAGGGCAUGAUAUUAGCCAUGGUACAGCUAAAUCUGAUAGCGGAACAACCUGUAGGCAAACCUGCCGCCUUUGUAUCUUGAGUUGGCUUGCUUUUUGAAUUUCCCAUACGUACCUAUGAAUUGCCAGAUCCAUGAGACUCCAAGAUCAUUGCUUGAUAUAUGUACUACUUCACUGAUACAAUUAUGGUACUAUGAAUUUUGUAGACUUCAUGAGGUUGAGCAUGGAUCAAGUGGACAAAUGUCAGAUGAAGUAACGAAUACUGCAGUAAUUGCCAAGAGGCCACCUCCAGAUAAUUAUCCCAAGGAUGAUGACACGAACGCCCACAUGGAACUAAUAUAUGGAUCAGCAAUCAAUCAAGUUGCGAACAAGGUCAUGGCGACCUGAACCGACAUGAACAAGGUCAUUGCCGGCGAGCACCCCGUCGAGGGCUACCGCUACCGCAACACAUUCGCAAACCUGGAGAGUUGUGGUGGCCUCCAACGGAUGUACGUACCAUGAAUGUAAGCCGUUAAUGUGUAGCACAUCUCCAAUUACCGGAGUCCAAACGGAUACUCUCCUUUCUAUCCCUUUCUCUCUACUGUUCGAGAGAGGCGACCACGAGAGCGACUCGGGCCCGGCCCGAUCCUGGAUCUUUGCCGCCGGCGACGCCGGUCGGGAAGGAGAUGGGAGAGGUGCGUGGUGCUCUGUUGUAAAUAGUAGGCCUAGUCUAGGUGUUUCCUUUGUGGAGUUUGGCCUUGUGCCGGAGUUUGGCGUCAUGCCGAUGGAGCGCAACCCACCGCCGCUUGCGCGCAGCGCCUGGUGGUCGCCGGUGACAUCUUCUGCUCUUCUCCCAUGGUGGUGGCGAAGGGGAGAUGAUGUUUCUGGUGCUAGCUCUCAAAAUAAGCGCGUGGUCUUUGUGCCCUGGAUCUGGAGAAAGGCCAGCCGAUUCUCCCGGUUUCUUCAAGCCGUUGCGGUGAUGGAGCGGGAGCUUGGGAGGAGCGGCCAUCUGAAGAUGUCAGAUCGGGUUUGAGCUCAACAGCAGCAGCUAUUGCGGUGGGGGCGCUGGCGCCUGCUGUGGCGGUCGAUGGCCGGUCGUCGCCGUCAUUCUGCUGCUUCUUCUUCUGGCCGAAGGGCGGCCAUCCCCAUUCCUCCCGGCCUUGUAGCCAUUUGGGAGGCAGAUCUUCGUUCCGGCGGUCGCCAUGGCUGGUUGCUAUGGCUCCCUCGUCGCCCCAAGUGGUCACGUCCCCGGCGACGGCGAGGUGUAUCCGCUGAGAACGAUGUGGACCUGAUCGCGUUUUUCAUCUUUAGGUUGAGGUCCUUCUUGCAAAAGUCCUGGGACUUGUUCGUCGUUUGUUGUUUCUUCAGGGUCCUUUGUGUAAGACGCUGUACUUCUCUUUAUCUGAAUAAAUAGUUCGGGAUCCUUCGGGAUCCCUCUCUUGUUCAAAAAAAAAACA